GAGACAGAUAGAAACUCUUAGGCUGAACUUCUUCCGGUCUCUUUCUUUCUGUUCGCUUUGCCUAGCUGACAUGGACAAGAACAUGGCGCGUUUAACUGGGAUGCCUGGGUGUUUGUUUUCCUGCAUCACUGGUGCAUCCAGAGCUUCCAAAAGUCAUGGAUAGCCAUCCUGGCCAAACUUGAGCUCUGCCGACGCGACCUGGGUUGCGACCUUCAUGAAGAUGUUGGUGCUGCAUACAACUCUGGUGUCCAGACGAGGGCGCACUUGUCCCACAGCUGGAACGUCCGUCCUGAGAGACCCCUGUGUUAACGAUGUGGUGCUGUUUAAUGAUUGGUCCAUCCUGAGACUGCACUGAGAUUCAGGAAUCCAAGUCAGGUUUUGAAGUGGGCACAUUGUCGUGGCCGUGGGCUUCUCCGAAACGAACGUUCAACAGAUGAACCAGGAAGUCUGCUGAUGAACAAAAGGAUGUCUGCGUGGCUCUCUGUAAUGUUUCCAAUAAAAGUAUUUGAGAUCUGA